UACGGAGGGUGCGAGCGUUGUCCGGAAUCACUGGGCGUAAAGGGUGCGUAGGCGGGCUGCCAAGUUUGGGGUGAAAUCCUCCGGCUCAACCGGGGAAGUGCCUUGAAUACUGGCGGUCUCGAGGGAGGUAGGGGCGUGCGGAACUAACGGUGGAGCGGUGAAAUGCGUUGAUAUCGUUAGGAACUCCGGUGGCGAAGGCGGCACGCUGGACCUCUUCUGACGCUGAGGCACGAAAGCCAGGGGAGCGAACGGG
rnacentral:rRNA from 1 species